rnacentral:rRNA from 1 species
UACGUAGGUGGCAAGCGUUGUCCGGAUUUACUGGGCGUAAAGAGCGCGCAGGCGGUCGCUCAAGUCGCGUGUGAAAGCCCCCCGGCUCAACUGGGGAGGGUCACGCGAUACUGAUCGACUCGAAGGCAGGAGAGGGUAGUGGAAUUCCCGGUGUAGUGGUGAAAUGCGUAGAUAUCGGGAGGAACACCAGUGGCGAAGGCGACUACCUGGCCUGUUCUUGACGCUGAGGCGCGAAAAGCUAGGGGGAGCAAACGGGG